AGAACUUGAUCAAACUUGGUCAUUUAGAGGAAGUAAAAGUCGUAACAAGGUUUCCGUAGGUGAACCUGCGGAAGGAUCAUUAUCGAGUUUUGACUGGGUUGUAGCUGGCCUUCCGAGGCAUGUGCACGCCCUGCUCAUCCACUCUACACCUGUGCACUUACUGUGGGUUUCAAACGUCGUAAAGCGGGUCUCUUCACCGAGCUUGUAGAGCGGCGUCUGUGCCUGCGUUUAUCACAAACUCUAUAAAGUAUCAGAAUGUGUAUUGCGAUAUGUAACGCAUCUAUAUACAACUUUCAGCAACGGAUCUCUUGGCUCUCGCAUCGAUGAAGAACGCAGCGAAAUGCGAUAAGUAAUGUGAAUUGCAGAAUUCAGUGAAUCAUCGAAUCUUCGAACGCACCUUGCGCUCCUUGGUAUUCCGAGGAGCAUGCCUGUUUGAGUGUCAUGAAAUCUUCAACUUACAGACCUUUGCGGGUUUUUGUAGGCUUGGACUUGGAGGCUUGUCGGCCGUGUUUCGGUCGGCUCCUCUUAAAUGCAUUAGCUUGAUUCCUUGCGGAUCGGCUCUCGGUGUGAUAAUGUCUACGCCGCGACCGUGAAGCGUUUUGGCGAGCUUCUAACCGUCCUUGUUUGGACAAAUUUAUGACCUCUGACCUCAAAUCAGGUAGGACUACCCGCUGAACUUAAGCAUAUCAAUAAGCGGAGGAAAAGAAACUAACAAGGAUUCCCCUAGUAACUGCGAGUGAAGCGGGAAAAGCUCAAAUUUAAAAUCUGGCGGUCUUUGGCCGUCCGAGUUGUAGUCUGGAGAAGUGCUUUCCGCGCUGGACCG
rnacentral:rRNA from 1 species